rnacentral:misc_RNA from 1 species
AAAACUCAUCCAGACCACCCACAUGUGGUGGUUGUGCGAUGGAACUGGCUGUCCCGCAAUUUUGCUUGUACAUCAGGCAAAUAAAAGCGGGUCAGCUGAAGUACAGCUGUUGCUGAUGGACCCUACAAUGGGCCUCUACUGGGUAGGCAACUCGCUUGCUACAAUGCUUUAGUAGGUGGCUUUGGGACUGUGAGCAGCACGAAUCAGGAAAACUCGUCACGAGUUAAACCCCCUUUUUCUC